rnacentral:rRNA from 1 species
GAGGAAUAUUGGUCAAUGGACGUGAGUCUGAACCAGCCAAGUAGCGUGCAGGAUGACGGCCCUAUGGGUUGUAAACUGCUUUUAUGCGGGGAUAAAGUUAGUCACGUGUGACUAUUUGCAUGUACCGCAUGAAUAAGGACCGGCUAAUUCCGUGCCAGCAGCCGCGGUAAUACGGAAGGUCCAGGCGUUAUCCGGAUUUAUUGGGUUUAAAGGGAGCGUAGGCUGCCGUUUAAGCGUGUUGUGAAAUGUACCGGCUCAACCGGUGAUGUGCAGCGCGAACUGGAUGGCUUGAGUUCGAAGAGGGAAUGCGGAACUCGUGGUGUAGCGGUGAAAUGCUUAGAUAUCACGAGGAACUCCGAUCGCGAAGGCAGCAUUCCGUUUCGUGACUGACGCUGAUGCUCGAAAGUGCGGGUAUCGAACAGGAUUAGAUACCCUGGUAGUCCGCACGGUAAACGAUGGAUGCUCGCUGUUGGUUUAAUUAGAUCAGUGGCUAAGUGAAAGCAUUAAGCAUCCCACCUGGGGAGUACGCCGGCAACGGUG